CGUCACCCGCCGCCUGAAGGCCCGUGUUGUCCAAUCAGGAGAGACAUGUCUGCGCGGAGGCGGGAUUUCCCAGCGCCAUCUUGCCUGGGGACUUGGAGUCGGCGAAGGGCACCGAGCGGCUACUGCAGGGCAGCGCGCGGCAGGACCAGCAACCAUGGCAGGACAUGACUCUGGAACACAGCACAAGUUCACUGGUAUUCAGAAAUACUUCAAUUCCUACACCAUAACAGGCAGAAGGAAUUAUGUAAUAGCUACAUAUGCAAGCAUUGCCAUGAUCAUCUUAUAUUUCAAGCUAAGGCCUAAAAAACAAACUCCAGCAGUGACAGAAAAAUAGUGGACCCCUGCCUCAUUCAUUGCACAGAAUGGAUGUUAGUCACUUAACAAAAUAGCAGCUCAUUAGGUUGCUGGCAUGUGUGUUAGUGUUGGACCUCAUGUUGCAAUGGAAACAGGAGUUGAUGUACAAUUAUGUACAAUUCAAUAAAACAAACAAAACAUCA